rnacentral:rRNA from 1 species
AUUAAACGCUGGCGGCAUGCCUUACACAUGCAAGUCGAACGGCAGCACGGGGCAACCUGGUGGCGAGUGGCGAACGGGUGAGUAAAGCAUCGGAACGUGCCCUGGAGUGGGGGAUAACGUAGCGAAAGUUACGCUAAUACCGCAUAUUCUGUGAGCAGGAAAGCAGGGGAUCGCAAGACCUUGCGCUCUGGGAGCGGCCGAUGUCGGAUUAGCUAGUUGGUGGGUAAAGGCCUACCAAGGCGACGAUCCGUAGCGGGUCUGAGAGGAUGAUCCGCCACACUGGGACUGAGACACGGCCCAGACUCCUACGGGAGGCAGCAGUGGGGAAUUUUGGACAAUGGGCGGAAGCCUGAUCCAGCCAUGCCGCGUGAGUGAAGAAGGCCUCGG